rnacentral:rRNA from 1 species
AUGCACGCUGGCGGCGUGCCUAAUACAUGCAAGUCGCGCGAACAGACGAGGAGCUUGCUCCUCUGACGUUAGCGGCGGACGGGUGAGUAACACGUGGAUAACCUACCUAUAAGACUGGGAUAACUUCGGGAAACCGGAGCUAAUACCGGAUAAUAUAUUGAACCGCAUGGUUCAAUAGUGAAAGACGGUUUUGCUGUCACUUAUAGAUGGAUCCGCGCCGCAUUAGCUAGUUGGUAAGGUAACGGCUUACCAAGGCAACGAUGCGUAGCCGACCUGAGAGGGUGAUCGGCCACACUGGAACUGAGACACGGUCCAGACUCCUACGGGAGGCAGCAGUAGGGAAUCUUCCGCAAUGGGCGAAAGCCUGACGGAGCAACGCCGCGUGAGUGAUGAAGGUCUUCGGAUCGUAAAACUCUGUUAUUAGGGAAGAGCAAAUGUGUAAGUAACUAUGCACGUCUUGACGGUACCUAAUCAGAAAGCCACGGCUAACUACGUG